UACGGAGGAGGCAAGCGUUAUCCGGAAUUAUUGGGCGUAAAGCGUCCGUAGGUGGGUGAGGAAGUCUGCUGUUAAGGAGUGAGGCUUAACCUCAUAAGGGCAGUGGAAACUCUUCGUCUAGAGUGCGACAGGGGCAAGGGGAAUUCCUAGUGUAGCGGUGAAAUGCGUAGAGAUUAGGAAGAACACCGGUGGCGAAAGCGCCUUGCUGGGUCUGCACUGACACUGAGGGACGAAAGCUAGGGGAGCGAAAGGG
rnacentral:rRNA from 1 species